rnacentral:lncRNA from 1 species
UGCUUCUUUCUUCUUCCUUGCCACCUUGCUUGGCUUACUCCUACCUUUCGUUUUCUUCUUGAAAGAAAUACUUUUUGCAGCUUCGACAGCAUCCUCCAAUUCGGCCUCUAUCUCCUGUUUAGCGAGCUUUUCUCUCUUUCUUGUAGGUUUCACAGAACCAAUCUUGGUUGGGUUCAACAUGAUAGUCUCAGGUGGGAGUUUGUCAAGAAGAGAAUGCACUUCCCUCUCUUUCCUCUGUUUAGAAGUUUCAAAUGGAUUCGCCACCCAAGAGUCAAAGUUGGGUUCUCCGGAUCCAGGAAUCAAGAUAGAUGACCAACCCAUGGAGUGCCCGAUGCCCAAAACAUCUUCAUAGGGUCUGAACGCCAACUUUUGAAUUUGGUAACCUUUGGCAAUGGAAUGGCUCAUAUAGCGGCUGUAAUUAUGUGAUCCUGAGAAAUCUCUCAAUAUCUGUACAAAAGAUCCAGAGGCAGUAGCGAGCAAACCUUUCUGACUGAAAUUCAUCGUCUUGGUAUGUCCUGGUAAAGUUUGCAGAACCUCAAACUUCCUUAAGUCCCAAAUCUUUAUCUUCCUCUCCAUACCAGCCGUUGCCAUGAGAUGGCCAUUGGAAUGAAAUGCCAAAGCCGUAACAGGGCCAUGGUGACACAACAUCUUGACAAGAGGAGCAGAACUGGUUGGCUUCCACAUGCUUACUGUGCCACCAGAAUGGCCAACAGCAACUACACUAUUGAAGGGAUUUACCUGCAAUACAUCGGACCGACCUAGACCAGUUCGGAAAUUGCCUAUCAUCUCCCCUGUCGUGACAUCUUGAUAAUGGAGCUGCCCAAAUUUGUUUAUCGAUGCUAAUAAGAAAUGUUUGCUCAAAAACUGAAGCUUCAGUGCAGCACCAUGUUCCUGAAAGAAAGAAAAGAGAAUUCAAGUACAUUUAAUGCUAAUGGACUGAAUACACGUUUGAGUCUCCAAGAGAAGACCAAGUGCACACAAAUAGACAAAAUUAAUCCUUAUAGCACAAAAUUCCCUCGGCCUCUAUCUCCUGUUUAGCGAGCUUUUCUCUCUUUCUUGUAGGUUUCACAGAACCAAUCUUGGUUGGGUUCAACAUGAUAGUCUCAGGUGGGAGUUUGUCAAGAAGAGAAUGCACUUCCCUCUCUUUCCUCUGUUUAGAAGUUUCAAAUGGAUUCGCCACCCAAGAGUCAAAGUUGGGUUCUCCGGAUCCAGGAAUCAAGAUAGAUGACCAACCCAUGGAGUGCCCGAUGCCCAAA